rnacentral:rRNA from 1 species
GUAGGUGGGCAAGCGUUUGUCCGGAAUUAUUGGGCGUAAAGCGCGCGCAGGCGGUUCCUUAAGUCUGAUGUGAAAGCCCACGGCUCAACCGUGGAGGGUCAUUGGAAACUGGAGAACUUGAGUACAGAAGAGGAAAGCGGAAUUCCACGUGUAGCGGUGAAAUGCGUAGAGAUGUGGAGGAACACCAGUGGCGAAGGCGGCUUUCUGGUCUGUAACUGACGCUGAGGCGCGAAAGCGUGGGGAGCAAACAGGGAUUAGAUACCCUGGUAGUCCACGCCGUAAACGAUGAGUGCUAAGUGUUAGGGGGUUUCCGCCCCGUUAGUGCUGCAGCUAAACGCAUUAAGCACUCCGCCUGGGGAUACGGCCGCAAGGCUG